rnacentral:lncRNA from 1 species
ACACCCACACCCACUCUUCUUCCCCCAACCGUCUCGGAUCGGAGCAGAGCAGAGGCUCUCCCUUGGCCUUCCUCCCUCUCGGCAGCAGGCUCGACCUUUGCAUGGCAGCAGUGGCUACCUCCAAGGGGCGGGUGAUCGCUGGGAGCCUCGUCGCGCGCGUCCUUGCCGGCAAGGCCGCCAACGCCUCCCCGAGGUAUGCUCACACGCCUCCUGUGAGCUCAAAGAAAGAAUCAGAGUACUAGCAUACGUACUUACGUUGGAAGUAGAUCAGUACCACUACUGCUGCUAGUUCAACAGUGCCUCCGAGAUCUAGUUGCUCCGGAGAUUUGUAAAUGGUUCCUUUUGCUGCUCUCACCUCGGCUGCCGUGGGUACUGGUUCCCCCAUCGGUUCGCCAUCACAAUCAUCAUCUUGGUAUGGAAAUUGAUUAACCCGUGUUCUGUGAAGCGGCGCUGGGGAUAGGUACGUACCGUCGUGCUGCGCUAGAACUUGCAACACAGUUUCCCAACCCAACCCAAAGUUAGAAAGAUUGUGUCUCGAGUUCUCAGUCACGUCCUCCCCGCCUUGGAAACGCUCACAAAACUUCUUUGUAAAGCAGGGCGCAAGUGCCUUUUUCUCUCUCUAAAAAAAGCUUCCGUUUCACAAACUUGUUUGGUCCCUGUAAUAAGAACAGCAAAAAUAUCUUUCAUCUCUCCUGCCCAUAUGCGUCGACGAUCCGUAGCAGCAGCACAUCAUAUGAGUAGGACGGAUGUCAAGAUAAAUCUGCAGAGCAGGAGAGAGCUCCACCACAGAAGAAGGCAGAGAAGGCCAGAUCCAUGGAGAUAUUUCUCUGCGCCUCCCAGUUGCGGCCGGCUCGUCGGAGAUGGCCAAGACAUCACCCGAGCCCCGGCGGCGAAGGGAUAGUGCAAGGAUAUUAUUCACGGCCCGGACGGGUCGGUCGCUCGUUUCUGUUUCUUUCUGGGAGAUUUUAUUGACGGCAGCGAAUGGGUGGACGGGUAGGUGCGGGGUGGUUGUCCGUCCGUCCGUCCGCCAUCUGCCGGCCUGAGCGCUCCCUUGGUUUUCACUCCAAGGAUGGGGCUGGUGCGAGGCGAGAGGUUGGUGGUGGCGCCCACGGUCGGGGUUGCCGUGAGAUCAAGGCGCGGAUGAGACCCUCGGGCCCGCGGUCUGGCCCUGCACGAUCCCACUUCUUCUGGGCUCCGGAUCUGAACCGGCCGGCGGGCGACGUGUCGUCCAUCGGGUCCCGGGGCGGACGUACUGGGUGCACGUACACGCUAGGGUGAGUAGGAUGAUGGCGCCGGUCUUAUCCACAAGACCCACCCACCCACCCACCGUCGUGCUGCCCCACCUUCUCCCGCCGUCUCUUCUUUGCUCACUGACCUAAGGCAGCCAGUGGAGUCCGGCCACAGCGCAAACGGCGUGCUUCGUGCCACCAUCAGUCACCACGCAUGGCCGGGCUCGUUCUAUGGUGCGUACCGAACUGAAAGAAAAAUUGGUUUAUGGGCGCCCACACGGCACGGCACGGCACUCUUUGCGUGAACUCGCCGUCCCGGGCACCAACAACACACUUUGUGCUGCCCACGGGAGCAGAAAAAAAUAAUAAAAAGAUGGAAAAGUGUAGCUUAAUGGCAAGCAAACGGACAGCGCACCGGUCAAGAUCUUAUGUACUCCCUCCGCCCGGUAAUAAGUGUAUUUUUUUCUUUUCUGUCAAUCAAACUAGUUAAACUUUGAUUAACUUUAUUGAAAAAGUGCUAGCAUUUAUGACAUCAGAUUAGUAUCAAUAGAUUUGCCUUUACAUGAGGUUUCCAAAUAUAUCAUUUUCAUGCCAUAUAUGUUGCUACUAUUUACUAUAAAAUUGGUCAAAUUUUUUAAAAAUUGACUAAGUACUAAUCUAUAUGUAUGCUUAUUUGUGGACGGAGGGAGUACAUAGUUAUAAUAACUUCAUUUAGUCAAUAAAAUCUUGGUAACACCCACCCACAUAUAUAGGACUUUUAAUUAACGCUCACUCAUUGGGCUGCCCUAUUGCUAGUCAAUGCAAUGGCUUAUAUAUAAUCAACUGACGCCGUGAUGCGUACGUGCAUUGUUUCAUCAUCGUUCUUUUGCAUCAUGAACGGAGUAUUUUCCUUACCAUCAAGUCAACGUGGUACCGUUGUGUAUGUAGGAUCCAACGACCUCAUUAACGAGCGAUCCGGUUUUGGUGUUUGGGUUUUGCAGGAGGGCGGUGCACGCGUCGGCCUACGACAAGAACGUGGACGAGCAGGUGCGCCCGGCCUUCGUGCCGGACGAUGUGAUCGGCGGCGCCGGGAGCCCAGACAAGUACUGGGGCCCUCACCCGACCACCGGCGUCUUCGGCCCGGCCGCGGUCGACCCCAAGCUGUCCGCCAGCCUCGCGGCGCCGGCCAGCGCCGCGAAUGGUGGCGGCGCCUCCGUGCUGGACCAGAAGGUGUGGUUCCGCCCGCUCGAGGACGUCGAGAAGCCCCCCGUCGCCUGAUCGCCGCCGGCGACCACAGCCCAGCUCGACAUCUCUAUCACUCUCCUUAGCUGGGCUCGACCACCUACUUAACUAUUAUCUCUAGUAGCGUGCUUGUGCUAUAGUACAGUCAUGGAAGGCACCAGAAGAAGAACCGGUAGUAGUGACGCGGUGUUGCUGCCUGGAAUAAGAACCUGUGAAAGAUGUGUGAUGAUGAUGACAGUGAUGUG